rnacentral:lncRNA from 1 species
CUUGUUUCACGCCCGCACUUCACGCUUUAAUAAAGUUUUAUUGAACUCUGACUCACGUUGCCUCCACUACUACUGCCAACGUCGUUGCCACCACUGCUAUCACCGUUGUUGUCGUCGCCACAUUGCCGCCCCAACUUCGUUAGGUUAGUUUUUAUUUUUAAAUAUAUUAAUUUUAAUUAUUAUUUGGUUUACAAUUAUUUAUAUAGAAAAUAAGUUUUAUUAUAUUGUAUUUGGAAUAUAACGUAAUAUGUUUUAAAUUGGGUAAUUGUUAUGUUGAACAUUUUGGUAUUGGAUUCGGG